rnacentral:rRNA from 1 species
AUACGUAGGGGGCGAGCGUUGUCCGGAAUGAUUGGGCGUAAAGGGCGCGUAGGCGGCCCGGUAAGUCUGGAGUGAAAGUCCUGUUUUUAAGAUGGGAAUUGCUUUGGAUACUGUCGGGCUUGAGUGCAGGAGAGGUAAGUGGAAUUCCCAGCGUAGCGGUGAAAUGCGUAGAGAUUGGGAGGAACACCAGUGGCGAAGGCGACUUACUGGACUGUAACUGACGCUGAGGCGCGAAAGUGUGGGGAGCAAACAGGAUUAGAUACCCUGGUAGUCCACACUGUAAACGAUGAAUGCUAGGUGUAGGGGGUAUCGACCCCUUCUGUGCCGCAGUCAACACAAUAAGCAUUCCGCCUGGGGAGUACGGCCGCAAGGUUGAAACUCAAAGGAAUUGACGGGG